rnacentral:rRNA from 1 species
AACGAACGCUGGCGGCAUGCCUAACACAUGCAAGUCGAACGAGACCUUCGGGUCUAGUGGCGCACGGGUGCGUAACGCGUGGGAACCUGCCCUUAGGUUCGGAAUAACUCCCCGAAAGGGGUGCUAAUACCGGAUAAUGUCUUCGGACCAAAGAUUUAUCGCCUUUGGAUGGGCCCGCGUUGGAUUAGCUAGUUGGUAGGGUAAAAGCAUACCAAGGCGACGAUCCAUAGCUGGUCUGAGAGGAUGAUCAGCCACACUGGGACUGAGACACGGCCCAGACUCCUACGGGAGGCAGCAGUGGGGAAUAUUGGACAAUGGGCGAAAGCCUGAUCCAGCAAUGCCGCGUGAGUGAUGAAGGCCUUAGGGUUGUAAAGCUCUUUUACCCGGGAUGAUAAUGACAGUACCGGGAGAAUAAGCGCCGGCUAACUCCGUG